GUUUUAAUAGUUUAUAAAAAAACAUUGAUUUUGUAAAUCAAAAAAAAGUAAUAAUCUUUUAAAACU
rnacentral:tRNA from 1 species